CCAUUAUUCAUCAUAUUUAUAAAUACCUCAGAUCCAAUUUUAAAUCUCCAUCAUUCGUCAUACAUACAUAUAUAAUCCCACAGAUGAUUACUGAAAACCAAAUCAAAAUUGAAUAAUUCAACAAGAAAUUUUCGGAUGCGCAAGGGUUUGAACGAAAAGGAUUUUAAAACAAUUUAAUUUUAAAAUACCGUGUGUGCUGGUCUUUUGCCCGCGAGUAGUGAGAAAGCAUGGAAGUCGUCGCUUGGCAUGCUAACACCCUCACAGGGCGCGGCUCAAUCAAUUAUUGUGGCGAGGGUGCGGUCGUCCCUGCGCGAGUUCCACCCCUGGCAUGGCAACAACCCUAUGGCGAAUCUCUUCCUUCUCUUCUUUUCCAUAUUAAGUUCCACCUUUUAAACGUGGAAACGUUAAAGGUGGAGAAUUCGUCGAAUAAUUGGAAAGGAGCGACGAUUAAUUAAUAUUACAAAACUUCUCUCUUUCUCCCUUUUUUUUUUCUUUUACAAUAUCUGAAUCCAUCCUGAUUCUCGUUACAACCAGUUAUGAUCGAUUUUGUCUUCCCUUGGCAAAGUAUCGAUCAUGGUUGUUAACCCUCGAGCCACAGGUCCCCUGCACGGUUGGAAUUAAAUUUUUCACCAAAUUGGCUUUACUUUGAUCUUCCUCUCUGUGGUUUUAUUUAAAAAAAAAGAAGAAAGAAAAGAAAAUU